rnacentral:rRNA from 1 species
GACGAACGCUGGCGGCGUGCUUAACACAUGCAAGUCGAACGGAAAGGCCCUGCUUUUGUGGGGUGCUCGAGUGGCGAACGGGUGAGUAACACGUGAGUAACCUGCCCUUGACUUUGGGAUAACUUCAGGAAACUGGGGCUAAUACCGGAUAGGAGCUCCUGCUGCAUGGUGGGGGUUGGAAAGUUUCGGCGGUUGGGGAUGGACUCGCGGCUUAUCAGCUUGUUGGUGGGGUAGUGGCUUACCAAGGCUUUGACGGGUAGCCGGCCUGAGAGGGUGACCGGCCACAUUGGGACUGAGAGACGGCCCAGACUCCUACGGGAGGCAGGAGGGGGGAAUAUUGCACAAUGGGCGGAAGCCGGAUGCAGCAACGCCGGGUGCGGGAGGACGGCAUUCGGGUGGGAAACCGCUUUCGCCUGUGACGAAGCGUGAGUGACGGGAAUGGGGAAAGAAGCACCGGCAACCUACGU